GAAGCCGGAAGCUGUAAAAUUCGUCGACAUCUGUUGGAUGGCAAAUCAAGUAACUGUGGUACAGUAGACAUCCAGGAUUAAUGCCCGUGAUGUAGGAUGAACUUAUUCAGGGCAAGAUGAAGAGGUCAAACUCCUGCUAUUCUGAAACAGGAUGAAGCAGACAGAGCCAGCCAGCCUCUCCAGCAGCCAUAGCAAGCCAGGCACUACAGUAGCCAGAUACAAUCAGCUAGCCACUCAUCCAGCCACAGCCAUCCAGCUAGCCAGUCCUGCAGCCAACCAGCCUCUCCAGCAGGGAAGCCAGACAGGCAGAUGCUCCAGCAGGGAAGCUAGCCAGCCAGUCAGACAGCCAGCUAAUUCAUCUGGGAAGCCACACAAUCAGUCCAGCAGGGAAGCCAGACAGCAAACCAGUCCACAGGGAAGCCAGCCAGCCAGCCAAUCCAGCAGAGAAGCCAGCCAGCCACUCCAGGAGGGAAGCCAGCCAGCCCAGCAAGAACUGUGAUUGUACUGUUUUAUACUAUGUAUUACGAAAAGGAAACAGGAGGUGGCACUAGAGUAACACAGU